rnacentral:rRNA from 1 species
GACGAACGCUGGCGGCGUGCUUAACACAUGCAAGUCGAACGGAGUGGCGAACGGGUGAGUAACACGUGGGUGAUCUGCCUUGCACUUCGGGAUAAGCUUGGGAAACUGGGUCUAAUACCGGAUAGUGCAAGAUGAGCUCGCGGCCUAUCAGCUUGUUGGUGGGGUAAUGGCCUACCAAGGGGUCGACGGGUAGCCGGCCUUAGAGGGGGGACGGCCAAAAUGGGACUAAGAUACGGCGCAGACUCCUACGGGAGGCAGCAGUGGCGAAUAUUACGCAAUCGGCGGAAGCGUGAUGCAGCGACGCCGGGUGGGGGAUGUAGGCCUUCGGGUGGUAAACUCCUUGCGACAGGGACGCGGUACCUGUAUAAGAAGCACCGGCUAACUACGUGCCAGCAGCCGCGGUAAUUC